rnacentral:rRNA from 1 species
GUAGGGAAUAUUAGUAAUGGGCGAAAGCCUGAACUAGCAACGCCGCGUGUGCGAAGAAGGCCUUCGGGUUGUAAAGCACUUUUUGAGAGGAUGAGGAAGGACGGUACUCUCAGAAUAAGUCUCGGCUAACUACGUGCCAGCAGCCGCGGUAACACGUAGGAGGCGAACGUUAUCCGGAUUUACUGGGCGUAAAGCGCGUGUAGGUGGUUUGGUAAGUAGGGCGUGAAAGCUCCUGGCUCAACUGGGAGAGGCCGUUCUAAACUGCCGAACUAGAGGAUGGUAGAGGGAGGUGGAAUUCCGGGUGUAGCGGUGGAAUGCGCAGAUAUCCGGAGGAACACCAGUGGCGAAAGCGGCCUCCUGGACCACUCCUGACACUCAGACGCGAAAGCUAGGGUAGCAAACGGGAUUAGAAACCCUAGUAGUCC